rnacentral:rRNA from 1 species
GACGUAGGGGGCCAGCGUUGCUCGGAAUUACUGGGCGUAAAGGGUUCGUAGGCGGUGUGGCAAGUCGGGAGUGAAAUCUCUGGGCUUAACUCAGAGGCUGCUUCCGAAACUGCCGUGCUAGAGUGCGGGAGAGGCGAGUGGAAUUGCAGGUGUAGCGGUGAAAUGCGUAGAUAUCUGCAGGAACACCCGUGGCGAAGGCGGCUCGCUGGACCGCAACUGACGCUGAAGGAACGAAAGCUAGGGGAGCAAACAGG